rnacentral:rRNA from 1 species
GACGAACGCUGGCGGCGUGCUUAACACAUGCAAGUCGAACGGAAAGGCCCUGCAUUUGUGGGGUGCUCGAGUGGCGAACGGGUGAGUAACACGUGAGUAACCUGCCCUUGACUUUGGGAUAGCUUCAGGAAACUGGGGCUAAUACCGGAUAGGAGCUCCUGCUGCAUGGUGGGGGUUGGAAAGUUUCGGCGGUUGGGGAUGGACUCGCGGCUUAUCAGCUUGUUGGUGGGGUAGUGGCUUACCAAGGCUUUGACGGGUAGCCGGCCUGAGAGGGUGACCGGCCACAUUGGGACUGAGAUACGGCCCAGACUCCUACGGGAGGCAGCAGGGGGGAAUAUUGCACAAUGGGCGGAAGCCUGAUGCAGCAACGCCGCGUGCGGGAUGACGGCCUUCGGGUUGUAAACCGCUUUCGCCUGUGACGAAGCGUGAGUGACGGUAAUGGGUAAAGAAGCACCGGCUAACUACGUG